AUGGCUUCCCCUAAGCUUCUCCUCCUGCUCGCCACCCUCCUCCCGAGCUACGGCCUCCUCCUCGCCGACUUGGCCCCGAUGACCCUGACCGUGGUGAACAACUGCGCGUACCCGAUCUGGCCGGGCAUCCAGGGGAGCGCCGGCAGCGAGGUCCUGGAGGGGGGCGGCUUCUUCCUCCCGUCGCUCUCCCACCGCUCCUUCCCGGCGCCCGCCCACGCCUGGUCCGGCCGCAUCUGGGCGCGCACCGGCUGCGCGCCCUCCGCCGGCGGGCAGCUCCGCUGCGCCACGGGCGACUGCGGCGGGCGGCUCCAGUGCGGGGGCCUCGGCGGCGCGGCGCCCGCCACGCUGGCGCAGGUCUCCCUCCACCACGGCGGCGACGACCAGUCGUCCUACGGGGUGAGCGUGGUGGACGGCUUCAACGUGGGCCUCUCCGUGACCCCGCACGAGGGCCGCGGCAACUGCCCCGUCCUCGCCUGCCGCAAGGACCUCACGCAGACCUGCCCCGGCGAGCUGCAGGUGCGCGCCGCGGCGCCCGGCGGCGGCGGCGUGGCCGCGUGCAAGAGCGGCUGCCUGGCCUUCGGCACCGACGAGCUGUGCUGCCGCGGCGCGUACAACAGCCCGGCCGCCUGCCGCCCCUCCAGGUACUCGGACUUCUUCAAGAGCGAGUGCCCGCAGGCCUUCACCUACGCCCACGACAGCCCCUCCCUCACCCACCAGUGCUCCGCCCCGCGCGAGCUCAAGGUCAUCUUCUGCCACUAG
rnacentral:rRNA from 1 species